rnacentral:rRNA from 1 species
CACGUAGGCACCAAGCGUUGUCCGGAUUUAUUGGGCGUAAAGAGCUCGUAGGCGGUUGAGUAAGUCGGGUGUGAAAACUCUGGGCUUAACCCAGAGCCGCCACCCGAUACUGCUCUGACUUGAGUUCGGUAGGGGAGCAGGGAAUUCCUAGUGUAGCGGUGAAAUGCGCAGAUAUCAGGAGGAACACCGGUGGCGAAGGCGGUUCUCUGGGCAUGUCCUGACGCUGAGGAGCGAAAGUGUGGGGAGCGAACAGG